rnacentral:rRNA from 1 species
UACGUAGGGUGCGAGCGUUGUCCGGAAUUAUUGGGCGUAAAGGGCUCGUAGGCGGUCUGUCGCGUCGGGAGUGAAAACUCAGGGCUUAACCCCUGAGCCUGCUUCCGAUACGGGCAGACUAGAGGUAUGCAGGGGAGAACGGAAUUCCUGGUGUAGCGGUGGAAUGCGCAGAUAUCAGGAGGAACACCGGUGGCGAAGGCGGUUCUCUGGGCAUUACCUGACGCUGAGGAGCGAAAGUGUGGGGAGCGAACAGG